AUGGCCACUUCAAGCUCCUCCAAGGACAAGUCCUUUGACAACGUCAUCAACCCAUAUCCGCGGGAGGUGAUGCAGCACCCUCAAGCUAUCCAGAUGCGCAAUGGGGUGCUGCACAUCCGCGAUGUGCAAGGGCCCAGGGGGACUGUAUCCGUGGAGGCCAGGCUUGGAGCCAUGGAGCAGGACAUCUUCAAGUGCAAGGGAAUGGUGGAGCGUGGACUCAAUGCUGAUCACCUCAUGAUCGCGGACUAUACCCAUGAUCUCAAGGUGGACGGCAAGCCCAUAAAGGACAUCAUGUUCUCCCUCAACGAGCAAAUCAACUUCCUUCAUAGCCAUAUCGACGACCUUCAGAGCCAAAUCUUUGAAUAUGAGGCCAGGUUUAAAGGUAUGAGUUUGGCUGCCAGUUGCAGGAUCCGGGAGACUCACUCCUUAUAUAUGAUGGUGAGCCUCUGCCAUGGAAACCCGAGGACAAGAAACCUUCUACUUCAUCACCAUUGUGUUCUUCAUCACCACCAAAAUAAAACUAAGUAUUGGGUAUGGGCACUCCCCUUUGCUUUCGCCAAGCUUACGGGAGGUGCCCCGGUAUCGUGUCAAUCUCCACUAUCUUUUGCCUUUACUUUCUUAGUUCGAUCAAUGGUUAUCUUUUGCUAUUAG
rnacentral:rRNA from 1 species